GAUUUUAUGACUAAUUCUUAUGAAGUAGAUUGUAAACCUACAACGAGCCAGAAUGAGAAGAAGGUUGAGCGGAUAUUGGACAAAAGGCAAGUCUCCAAUGAUCAAGCUAAAUAUUUGAUAAAAUGGAGCAAUACAGAGCUUAUGGAUGCAGUUUGGGUAGAUGAAAGAACGAUUAAUUGUCCUGACAAAAUCAAAGAUUUUGAAGAAGUUAUGCAACGAGUUCAAGAAGCGUUAGAACCAAAAAAAGAAAAAGAGAAAGAAAAACCUGAAAGAAAGACAACAGAGGUAGAGCAACGACCCGUCGAAAAAAUAGUAGAUUGUGGUCGUGAUGAUCGAGGCGAAUCUUUCUUUCUUGUCAAAUGGGCAGGAACUGAAAACUUGGAUUUGAUGAGAAGGGAUGAGGCCGUUGAAAACCAUCCCCAAUUUGUGAUUGACUUCUACCGGUCGAUGAUACUGUGGCAGUGAUUGAAUGAUUUGACGAAAUUGACGCUAAGAUGUUAUCGUAUUCUCUGACUCAUAUUAGAUUUGUUUUAGUCUUCAAACUGUUUUCAUUUUUUCUUUAAUAAAUCGACCGUGUAUAAUG